UUGGUUGAUUCAGUGGUGAAAUUCUUGCCUUCCAUGCAGGAGACCUGGGUUUGAUUCCCAGCCAA
rnacentral:tRNA from 1 species